rnacentral:lncRNA from 1 species
GAAGAGAACACUUUUGCAGCUAUACUUUUCACAUAUUGCUUACUGGAUUCGAAGUUGAAAUGAAGGAGUUAUUGCAUUUUGAAGUCAGCACUUGGAAUCUAAGGGUGUAAGUAGCCCGAUUUACUUGUGCUUGUGAUUUGAGCUAUAUCUUAGACAAUUUGAUGAGGUUUUGGCUCAAAAUUUCCAAGAUUGUGUAUAAUCUUAUUAUAAAUCUUUUUAAAUAAGUUUUGUAGAAUUUGGAGUUUGGAUUUUUGAGAUAUAAGGAAAAUAGUUUUUUGGAUGCUUAUAAAUUAGGGUUUAGAGUGCCUACU